GUGAAGGGCACGCAGUCUCGGGCUGCAAGGCUGUCUUGCCAGGAUGCAGAUCCCAAGUGAGAAGAUAGAGCCACCCCUCGUCUGGACAACGUGGGGAGCCCUCCAGGCCCGGGCAGCGCAGUGGCACCAGAGCAGGGCUCCCGACGGCACUGUCAAGCCCGCAGCAAAACCGGGGGUAAGCGCGAGAACCCGCUCUGGGAAGCAGGCUGUGGUCCCCCCCGAGGGCACCGUGUUCGCGGCAACGUGCCAGGAGCUGGAUUUACAGCAACAAAAAGAAGACCGGUCUCUGCACUUGCAGUAGGCGAGAUGGACAACGUGUAUGUAAGAAAGUACAUAAAUAAGACAAUUAGAUGAUGCGGCAAGUGCUGGGGAGGAAACCCACCAACGACGUGACCGUAUUUUUUAUUUUUUUAGCCUCUCCACCGUGUGACACUCUGCACGUAGCAAGUGCUCACUUAAUUUAAUUAAACACCGGUUACACAAAACUACAAGAAACUUCAGAAUAAAAGAUCCAGUGACAAGUCCCCCAACUCUUCCGCAAGCGGGAUCGACCAAAAUGUAAAUUGACUUUAGGCAGCUGGUGACCCUCGAAAUAGCGAUGGCAGGUUUCCUAACUCAGGGUUCCCCCAACAGCCUGAGCCAAACACGCAACCAAAUUAGCACAAAAUAACGAGGGCAGAAGAGUCAAAUGACGUAUAAGAAAAAUGAAUAAAACAUUUCUAUGUUAUCAUUGAGGCAAAAAUUACGAUUUAAAUGGAACAUUCCUAAUAUAGUCUCUAGUCAUGACUUUGAAAAGGCAUAAGAGGAUGUCGGAGAGACAAAGAUUGGCUUCCUGAGGUCAGGUUGCAGCUUCCUGAACAAUGAGAUAAUCCAAAUUAAAUAGUAGUCAUAUAAUUAGAAAUAUAGUGGCAAAAAACCAAUGUGACCGAUUCCUGGUCGCGUAUUGGUUAAAUGAGACCAUUUGAGUUAGGAUAGGUCACAGUUUCAGCAUCAGGCGCGGUGUGCCAGGGUCAGGUUUUUACAUCCUGUUCCCCCAGCAUUAACCCUUUGAAGCAAAGAGCUAGGGGCCGGGGACUCCUGCGAAGACCAGAGGCCAGAGAAGGCAGGAUGCGUCCACAGGGUAACCGCGUGAACGCUAACGUGCUUUUUCCCUUCUGCCUUCCGUGGGGAUGACUGUCUCUCCCGGCGGAGUGAGCCUGCCGUCCGUGGCGGUGGCAGGAAGAUCACGAUGAAAGGGAAGGAAAGAGAGAAGACGAGAGAAUAUUCAGCUCCCGGGGUCCAAAAUAGGAUUUUUCAUCAAGGCAACGGGCUCGAGAGCAGGAUAUGUCAAGAAAGAGCAUUUUCUAUAAUAAUUUUGUAGGAAUCUCAAAAAGCAAGCCUACAGAACUCACAUCAUACGGUGUCUUCUGUAUUCAGAAAAUAUGAUCCUCUGAUCUACGGACAACGAGGCCCUGAGCUCAGCAGGAGAAAGAGGAGAAAAACUCCUGAAACCUUUUCCUUCUGUUCUGCGAGAUUUUAGGAGGGCUUUCUUCUCCCUUGCAGGCCACAUGGAGGUGACACAGCAGAGAACAAGAAGGUCCUAAGGCGAGGCUGUCCAACAGAGCUUCCUGUGACGACCACGCGUCUCAUACUUGUGUCGUCCGAUCUGGUCAUCACCAGACACAUCUGGCUCCCAAGCGCUUGAGACGUAGCUACCAUGACUCAGUGUUAGUCCAGGGCACCGAGGAGGCCACCAUACUGGACGGCACAACCCUGGGGAUGACGCAGGCCCACAGCGGAAGAGGUCUAGACCGGAUCCACGGCUGGGAAGGGAGCCAUCCAGGAGAACCUCACCAUGCCGCUCCGACUGUGAUGGGAAUAAGAGACGAACAUUUACUGUCCUGAGAUCCGGGAGCUGCGACAACAGGGAUAGCCUUGACAGCCCUGAGGAAUACUGAUAACGUUCUCAUGCUCAACCUUUCUAUAGAUCGGAAAACUGGGGGACGGAGGAAUUAAUUAAUUAAUUAGUUAAUUAACGCGCCCAAGAUCACGCGGCUACAAAACGGUAAAACUAAGAUGGAGCCGGGGGGUCCAGCUAGGCCGCGCUCACGCACGCCCGACAGGUCCACGGGAUAGAUGCGAGCGAGAGGAAGGGGAGACUCGGUGUGGUCCAGACAUCAUUGCUUUGCAUCAAAGGAUUAUAUUUGUAAAUUUGCUGGAUUACAUAAUCUCUUUGCCACGUGAAUCACAAGUCAUCAGAUCCUUAGACAGCCUUACACCAACUACAAAGAGUGGGCACGCACGCUUCUCACGCACGCGAAACCUGCUGUCUGGUUCUUUGGUAAUGACAAGACGCUCUGCCACAGGGACACAAUGGAAAUGAGUCAGUGGUGCCCAGACCGAAGGAACGGAGCGUUCUGUAAAUAUGAAACAGAUGGGAUUUCCGGAGCUGUUCUCGGGCGUGUUAGCAGUUUUCAAGUGAGCUAGGUUUUAAAAAUCCGUUGAUUUUUUAUCACCAGGAUCGGAGCUGACUUGAACUAAUAGCAACUGUCCAGGCCUCUGCCACUGUCGCUCAUUCGUGCUGUGGUUGGGACCACGGAGGAGCUCCGCUCCCUUCACGCCGCUGGCCUCCGGGGAUGGGGGCCCUCACUGAGAAACAGGCUUGAGGACGACACCGGCCUGACCGCCUCUCUCCCUGGAGCCUCCUGAGGACUCGCGGAUUCCAUUUAGGACCCGAUAACGGGCCGUCGUGUGGACAGCGUUCGUAAACAUCUUUACAAGCCCGCUCGCGAUAAAGAUGAAGAUACUGUUCAUUGAGCAGCAGCUUAACAGGUGAUUUAUCUACGUCAGGUUACGUAAAUCUAACAAAAACGGGAAAAUAGGAUCCACGUUCAGAAUUAACAGCAAGAGCUUACAUAGUCUUUGCAAUGAGCCGGGAGCCUUCUUCCCAAGGAAAUUACUGCAGUCGUUCGGUCAUCAUAAAAAAUAAGCACAAUAGUCGUCACCCCCGUUCCGCAGGUUAGCCAUGGGGGCAAAGGAAGAGCAACGGUCUGCCUCAGGUCACGGGACUAAGCAGCUGCAGAGCGCAGGCUUCAGACCCAGGCCCUGCGGCUGCGGAGGGUGUUGCUGUGCUGCCUCUCAGUUGACCUCACAAGCACUUGCCUAAGGUCACAAAGCUAACGCAGGCCAGAGCCAAGUUCAAAAUCCAGUUUUAUUUGAUUCCAAACGCCAGCCUCCUCCCUCCCGCCAGUGUCCCCCAGACAUCCCUGUCCUCAGAGCCAUGCUCACAGCGGAAGCCCUGGGGGACCUGGCAGCCACAGGGACCGUGGCCAAGGGCACAGCUCAUUCCCCGGGAGGCCUCAGGGUGCUCCUGCCUUCAGCCGCGGGGCUCUGGUCAGCAGCCAGCGGCCCCGCCCCGCGGCAGCCAGGUGCAGCGUCCAUGCAGGCACCUGCCGGGACAGCCCUCGGGGAGCCGGCCGCCAGCAGGUCCCGGGAUCUCAGCAUCUCCCACCUGCGUGGGGAAGCAUGUGGGGCCUGGAUGUGAUGUGGCGCCUGCUGGAGCCUGCUUCCCGCAUUUCUCAGUUCCCUGGUUAGCGUCACCCCAUUAGCAGACAGGACCCGCAGCCGAUGGGCCGCAGCCUGUUGGUGUCAGUUCCCCAGUUAGCAUCACCCCGAUAGCAGAAUGGGACCUGCAACCGAUGGGCCGCAGCCUAUUGGUGUCGGUUCCCCAGUUGGCAUCACCCUAUUAGCAGACAGGACCCGCAGCCGAGGCUGCAGCCUGCAGUGUGGGUUCCCCAGUUAGCAUCACCCCAUUAGCGGAUGGGGACCUGCAGCCCAGGCCACAGCCUGCUGGUAUCAGUUCCCCAGUUAGCAUCACCUCAAUAGCAGAUGGGACCCACAACCGAAGCUGCAGCUUGUGGUGUGGGUUCCCCAGUUAGCAUCACCCAUAGCGGAUGGGGACUCACAGCUGAUGGGCCGCAGCCUGCUAGUGUCGGUUCCCCAGUUAGCAUCCCCCCGAUAGCAGACGGGGACCCACAGCUGAGGCCGCAACCUGCAGUGUUGUUUCCCCAGUUGGCAUCACCCUGUUAGCAAUGGGGACCCGCAGCUGAGGAUGACCGCAGGACAGCCAGAACCUGCCAGGCCAGGGGGAGGCGACUUGCAGCUCACAACCUGCGACCCAGGCACCUGGACAGAGGACGCCAAGGGGAGGGGCCCGCCGCGGACACCGUGUGGCACCCGAGGGAGACUCCAGAUACUAAAGCACCAUGUUCAUAUCGAAUCGGCAGCAGUGUGGUGUGAGCUCGCCCCUGCACCAGCCUACAGGCCAACCCCUCCGCCUCUGGCCUUCCUCCCUCUCAGGGCUGCUCUGUGCUUCUGUGCAUUUGCCUGGCUGUAACGGAGCCCUGUGACGUCUCGAGGUGUGUGUCGCCCGGCAGGGCCCCCAGGGAACGCACAGGGGGGUGAGGCCCAGUGAGAGCAUCAGGUCCCGGGACAAGCCCCACCAACUAGAAGCGCCUGGAAAGGGGAUGCUGAGAAACGGGAUUAGGACACUGAGGCCUGCAGACCUUAUGGUCACUGAGCAGCUCGCUGGCCCCGAGCAAGUCAGGAAGGUCUUCCCCGAGCGUAUCCCCUCCUCUCUGAAGACUGGGUUGGAUCCUUUAGCCUCUGGGCUCUCUGCCCACUCGAAUAGUCUAUUUCUAAAAGGCACGUUCCAUGAAAUACGAGGUACUGACCACACUUGAGCAACUUCAAGCGCCCUGUGAACGUUCGUAAGGGGUGAGCCAAGUUCAAGGAAGAGCGUGGCAGGAGCUCACCCGAGCGCAGGUACCCAGCGCGGGAUGCGAGGCGGCCCAGGUGCCCCCGUCCCCCAAGCCACAGCACCCCGGCCCGGCCCCUCCGCAUUCCCACCCACUCCCAGGACAGCAUCUGAACUGCAUUACAAGGGGCACCGGGAAUUUGCGACCCGACGACCCAGUCAUGUGGCCAACCGCUUCCAGAAACAGAAACCUCAAGCACCGCAGGACUUGGGCCAGCGGGAAAGCAGCCGAUCGCCGUGCCCACGGGAGGCACCUGCUCCUGCCUCGCUCCCCCGCCAGCCACGAGCACUCCAGGCACUGCUCUGGGAGCCCGCCCGGGGUUGACACAAACCUGAUCGAAGAAGACUCCAACACCCCAAGAAAUCGCCUAAUAAAAAAAAGCCUGGGCCCCUGAAAGCACAGACGGGACGGGUCAGGAAAGGAUUCGGCAAGGAUUCAGGGCACACCCUGAUUCCGUAGGUGGAAAGGUCCUCCAACACCCAGAAAUGCACGUGUCACUAACACGACUGCUAUGUCUACUAUCAGGUAUGCCCAAUCUGGAAUCUUCCCUGGUCCACAGUUGGGGGGCAUGGCCGGUGGUAGCUCUGCCACGGACAGAGGAACCGGAAUUCCUGAAUCAUAACAACCGAUUUCCCUCCUUAUAAAACACUUGCUUGUAGACAGACUCUUCUGAGCCUCACCACAAACAACCCCGGUGCCGUAGGUAUGAUAAUUCCCCUUUGGAGGCGAAAGCACAGGCCGAUAUCACCCAGCGAGGCAUUGGCAGGGUCAGGAUGUGAACAGGAGCCUGUGCUCCCACGGCCUGGAUUCUUUCUGCCCCCCGCAGCUGCUCCCAUAUGAAGUGUGGGGCCAGGUAACAGCACAGAGCCCAAGAGUCUGUAAAGGAUGAACCAAGGUCAGGAUGCGUCUAGAACACACCCUGUGGCCAAACCAGUUUGCCAUCAGCCCCCUCUGACGAGGAAGAGCCGGUUGUUGAGCGUCCUGGACAUCAACCCUGUCAUCACUGGCCAUCACGGCGGGCGCCCAUGGUGAGGACGGCCAACGAAUGCCCACCCAUGGGGUUUUAUCUCAUCCACCCCACGGCAAACAUUGGAAAUUCCUGCUACAAAAUUGCCCUCUACCUGUUGAAAUGUUGAGCUCCUAUUCGUUACUGACAUGCAGAGCACUGAAGGAGGGGUCUGACGGGAAGGAUAAAGGAAACAAGGUUCCCGGAGGCCAGGGAUGGGAGGUGAGAGCUAACCAAGCACGGAGGAGAGACAGCAGAGCCCGGAGGGGGAGGGCGGGCGCCCAGGUAGGAUGCUAAUACCCACUGAGGACCUCGGUGUCAGGCUCGCUGUUUGACGCUCACUAGUAUCUCAUUUUACCCUCACGACAGUCCUAUGAGAUUGGUGUCCGUCCCAUAUCACGGAUGAGUGAGCCGGAGUCUCAAAGUCCAGUCUCCCCUCUCACACACUUUUGUCUCAAGCCAAUCCUUCCAUUUUCAGAUCCUGAGUUAUCCUCUAAAGUGGUGACUAAUCCCGCACAGCACCCCCGUGUACUGUGCUGGGUGAAGUUCGAGGGUCUUGCUUUAUAGGUUGAAAAGGAGACGACGAGACCAUAAGAUACGGUCGAGUCUGAGUAAGGGGGGCUCGGCCAGCAGCCCGAAGACCGCACCUCCUCUCAGCAAUAUUGUAAGUUUUCCCGAAGCUGCGCCGGCGACACUGCGGACGGCGUCUAUGUCAACGUUCAACCGUAUUGAAACUUCACGAUGGGGGAGGGAGAGACACGACCCCACUGCAGGCCGAGCACGAAGGUGCUCUCACAGUGAGAGAGAGAAGAAGGGAUAGAAAAACAGGACAAAGAAAAGCAGGACGAGCUGGCAAAGGAGAAGUGACCGUGUUGUUGACCUUUUGCUUGUUGACCAACCAAAAGGUCAACAACACGCACGUGUGGGCAGGGAGACGCGGCGUAAAGUUUUUGCUGUUGCCUCCAUUCCUUCAUAGUUAUGUAGUGAAAAGAUGGACGGUGUGUGCAAUUACAAUGAGGUCGGGGGACAAACAGGCCCGGUGCAGCUCGAGUCUCGCUCAAGGGAGACGCGGAUGAAGAGGUGCAGCAUCUUAACA